CUUCUGCUAUCAAAUCCAGUUCAUUGCCUUAUGCCAAACAGAAACUAUUAGAGUUUCAACUAUUCAAGCCAUGCCAAUAGAUAUAAGGUGUUUUCACGAUAAAACAGAUUGCAAAGGUACCACGAUAACAAGAUAUAAAACGUCUUCGCUAAAAAGCAAUUAUUUAUGCUGCAGAAUGCACACAACUAGGUCUUGGUACCAAUGUCCUUCACAGCACAGAUCUGCUCUUCACCCAUUGCAGACAUCACAGACAGAACGAGAUCCUUUCCUUCCUCAAAUCCACCUUUAACCUGGUUCAACAGGGUGUCAUCGGUGGGAAGUCUGAGGUCGUCUUUGGUGUUUCCAUUUUCAGUAAGAAGAGACACAAAACCAUCUUCAGAUAUGUCAAUCAGCUGAUAGUCAGUACGAUUGACAUGUGGCACAUCACAAUUGUGG
rnacentral:misc_RNA from 1 species